UAUAGAGUGCCCGAAAAAGGGACCUUCUUGAUGAGAAGGAUCAUAUAGAACUUCUAUCUCUAUAA
rnacentral:tRNA from 1 species